CUCCGGGUCCGCCCGCGCCCUGGAGCCGGCGGCCAGGGGACCUGCUGCCAAGGAGGGGGCGGCGGCGGGGCCGGGAACGCGCGGCCCGGCCUGGCUGAGGAACCAGCAGGCCCCCACAGGCCCUCGUACAGUGCCUCCAGGGUCUUAAACCUGCCGCAGCCAUGUGAUUACCCUGAUCUAUCUGCUGGGAGAUGAGCAAAGCUCGGAGAGGGACCAGAUCUCAGCAGAGAUGAAACCAGCAGCAGUUCCUGAACACCCACCCCGCAGUGGUUCCAGAAGUGCAACAUGGACCAACCUGUGAGCAUUUGCUCUUCCUCAGGGGCAGCCACGAGAUACAGAAACAAUGGGAUUAGGAUAUAUCAAGACAGGAACGCUUGCUCCCUUGCCUGCCAACAUUCUCCUUGUCCCUGUCAUAUCUAUGUAUGUGAAACUGUAAGUGAAUUAUGGUUUCUGGUGAUACAAUUGCAACAGCACAGAAAUUCUGAUUACUUCAAACAACAUUCUUCCCCAGGCUCUAGCCUCAAUAAAGAAAUGUUAACACGCUUGGCAGUUUUUCAGCUUAUGGUUCCUCCUGUUGUCUCUAGAAGUCAGGCUGUUAUAAAGUGUCUCUAGGCAGCACUCAUUCAACAGCCAAGAAGAGACACGCCAGAAUUGCUUUUUGGAGCAGCCUUGUAAAAACCAAAGUCCUUCAACUCAGAACUUGAAGAAGCUACCAAUUAAAAGGGACCUGUGCUGAGCAGGUAACACUUGAAGCUGUGGUGAUGCAGUUAGGCCAAACCUGUAGAAGCUGCUUUAGUAGAAGAGCUGGUAAAGUAAAUGAAAAAAGCAGCACAGACUUCACAGUGCAGGAGAGGAACUAUUUAAUUAAUCUUCCUCUCAAACAUUUUUCAAGUAUGAGAAUGUUUUCUUUAAAAAUAAGGAACCAGGGUAACCAUGACCUUCUUUAGAAUCAGAUCAGUAUGUGGCAUACCGGAGCUGACCACCUCCCGGUACUCCCCACUGCCAGCAAGUAUGAGGUUUGGUUUUCCAAGGCUGAUGCUACUCUGUGCUGCCAGGGCUCUAACAUAUGGAUUUAUGUUUCCUUGUAUGUAUCACCAAACCAAUCACAUACCUCUUUGUCUGUAAAAUGAGAUUUAUCCUUCUCUUGUUCUGGAGUUAGAUAGAGAAUUUU